rnacentral:lncRNA from 15 species
CUGACCUCUGACAGGGGGUGGUGGCCAAUCAGAUUACUGGGGUUUGCGCGCCACCCUUGGCUACCGCUCUGGCUCCGCCAAUGUUUCGCACAGUGUCAACCCACCAUUUCUUCCAACAAGAUAACUGAGUUCAGUUUGCACUCUUCAUGAGUCUUAUGCUUUUCCCUGCACAAAGAUGAUCAUCACACUGCUCAUACAAAUAGCUGCUCUGCCGCUCUGUGUAGCAGAGCUCUUAAAAACAAGUGUUCAUCAGAAUCCUCCUGCCAUGUUCAAAGAUCCUGAAGAGGAAGUCCUGAUUAACUGCAGCCACUCAAAUAGUGAUUUUAAUAUGAUCCAGUGGUACAAACAGUCUGUGCGCAGCAGUGAAAUUACUCUCAUCGGGUUUGUACGAUACAACUCUGUGACCAUUGAAAGUCCAUUCAAAAAUAUCUAUAACGUGAGUGGGGAUGGAAGAAGCUUGUCAUCUCUUCACACUCAAACAGCGAAGGGAGCCGAGGACAGCAUGGUGUAUUUCUGUGCUGCCAGCGAUGCACGCUGCUGCAUAAAGCCUCUGUCUUUAUCAAAAACCCUCCAACACAAUCACAACAGUCACCUGCUGUAACCACACGAGCUACAAACGCUAUCAGACAGUCUAAUACAGAGUUAUAAUGCAGUUCUUAUCCAAUAGGGUGCAGUGUUCCUCUCCUGUGCCUGCUGUAUGAAUAAUAUAUGAUUGACAUCAUAUUUCAAACUCUCAUUGAAAUACAUGUAGUAACAGCAAGAUGUCUGCAGAAAUCAUGACAGAAAUCUGGUAUCUGAAUUGAAAUGCUGACUGAUAAAUACUUCUAAUCAUUUGUAAUUUGCAAACCAUUGGAGCACUAAAUAUUCUAGAAAUGAUCCUCCCUAAGGAUGUCUGGGUAAAUUGCGUCUCUACUAUACACACUUCCUCUAUUUGUAAUUAUAGAAUAGUGGAGCAGUCGUAGUCCAGCUGAUGAAGGAUGACACCACCCACUUUAAGACUCGACACUCACUCACAGGGAGUGCAUAUAUGACUGCUUACACACUGAGGAAGACACAGUUAUAUACCCACUCUAAAUACACAAGAUCAACAAAAUCUUAUUUCUGAUUAUCACUUGUGAAGCCAUCCUUGUGUCAGGUAAUGUCAUAAAAUGUAUUUUUGAUUCUGUUCACAUAUUGAUAUCAUUGAUUACUUUCUGAUGUUUAUUUGUGCUUCAGUCACCAAGUCUACCAGACUCCGGCUCACAUCCUCAGACAUCCAGGAGAGACAGCCAAACUCAGCUGUUUACACAUCGUUCUCAACUACAAUGUGAUCCUGUGGUACAAACGGUCAGACAGCGGGCAGUUACGGCUGCUGGGGUACAUGUUAGCAGGCAGUGGAUUUCCUGAGACCGGAGUGUCUGUGAAGAUGGAUGGAAGUGCAGAUACAAACUAGACCAGCAAAUUAACAGUUGAGAACCUCAGCCAGAACAGCAGCGCAGAGUAUUUCUGUGCUGCUAGUUUACAGUGUUAUCUAUUGCCACUCCGCAGCACAAAAACCUACCCAUCAUGCACUAUCAUCUCUUUACUACACUUCACACCUCCCUGCACCUGUGUUCUAAACAAAGUGGGUUUUUUUUCAUUCAGAGGUUACAGUGGGAGGUAUUUUCUUAGGAGCGAUAACCUACCACCUCACUUUAUAACCACCGGCAUCACAUUCAGUUCAGUGACUUAUUUUGAAAGGAUCACUAUGAUUACACAGUUUUCAUCAUAAUCAUGUCCUCAUCUCUGCUGUUUCCAGUUUUCCUGUAGGAUGAGUUAAAACUCAACAAACUCUCCUCAGCUCAACAGUGAGGCAUCAUUAAUAAAAGCCCCAUGCAACAGGGUGUCUUGGGUAAUAUGAUAAAUAGUAUUGAUAAAUGUCUGGCCACCUUUAAAAUGGCAUUUUUUAGGUUCAUUUUGGGAUUCUCAAUACACUACAAAAUGGAUGAGAAGUCCUUAAACCAGUUGGACGUCAAUUGCAUGGGUAAGGCUGACAUGAUGAAUGACUAGCUGGAAAACCAUCUAUUUAUGUCAUCUCUUACUUUCCUUAACAAACAUGGGGCAUUCAGAUCACAGAUUUUGGAAAAGGGGAAUGUACAAGGCAAUGAUUAUGAUUUGUGCAUUAAUUAAAGUAAUGAUGAACGAUUCUUAAAAAGAUGAUAGAUAACUAUUUUAUAGAGGAUAACUUAACUUGCUAUUGCAGCCAAGGGCUGAAGCUGACUAUUUAGAUGCAGAGGUGGAGUUGCGCUCAGGCCCUUUUUAACACCUCCCCUUUUUUCUUCAGACCUCAGGCUCAGCAGAGGCACGAGUUGUUUCCACAUGAUAGUAUGAGCCAUUAUCAUCAGCCAAUAUCUGAAAGACAGGUGUAUCUACAGCAGAUUAUCAAAAGGUUUUGAGUAACGUCCUAAUCUGUAGGGAAGAAGAAGUCAAAAUGAUCUGCUUUCUCUUUUUCUGUUGCCUUGCAGGUAAUGCCUUCUUGUUGAAAAUGUUAGCGAACGUGUUCACUCAGUCUGCUGGCCAUCACAAAGUAAAGAAUGCCUCUCUUUUUGUAUCCAGGUGGCUGCGUGGGGAUUGAGGUCCAUCAGACUCCCCCUGCUCUCAUCCAAAGACCCGGUGACCAAGUGCAGCUCAUCUGCACCCACCAACAAACGGACUCCAGAGUGAUGCUCUGGUACCAGCAGCCACCUGGGCAGACAGAUAUAAAACUCAUUGGACUUUUGAACUAUAAGGAUGUCAGAAUGGAAAAACCAUAUGAACAGCAGUUUAAUAUAAGUGGAGACCUGAGUCAGAAUGAUGCAAAAAAUGUGUCUCUGAUGUUCAUGCUGACUGGAGCUGAGGACAGUGCGGUCUACUACUGUGCAGCUCGCUAUGCACGCUGACACAAAGUCUCUCUGCUGCUUACAAAAACUCUACUCUAUCUCUUUGCAUUGGUGGUUUGGUACAUAGCGUGGAACAGCGGCCACCUGCUUCUGUGGUUGUCACCAUCAGCUAAUGCGUGUGUCUUAUGUGGAUUUCAAUAUCAAUAGGGAUUUGAGCGGUAACACAACAAGAAAAGCCUGCUAAUGUCUUAUGUUGGGGAGAAGCCUUAGAAAUAAUCUCUAACAAAUCAUUUAUUUUCCUCCUAACAUUGUCAUGAGAUGAAUCAUCCUUAGUGACUCAACUGUCACUGGUAUUUUGGUCAGACCAAUGAGACCGAUGAGGUAUUUCUUUCAAAACAUGAUUAUGAUGAGACGAUGAGUUAUACCUACACUACCAUUCAAGUGAAGCUGUAAGGAUUCUGAGAGGAGCAAAGGAGAAAGUGAGUCCUCUAACCUUAACUAAGGUUAACAUUAUGUUAAAGGUCCAGUGUGUAUGAUUUGGUAGCAUCUAGUGAUGUAGUUGCAAUUACAACUCUGUUGAAAUUGAAAUUGGCACAGCAGCACAGGGGAAUGUAGUGCAAAGAGUAAAGAAAGAGAAUAAAAUAGUACAAAAUGGGCCUGUGUAUAUCUGUACAUGUGCAAUUUUUCUGAAGUAUUGUGCAUGGGGGUACUGGCUGCUGUGGCCUUGUGGCGUCAAUGUUGGCUGAUGGCACAAAUGAGCCUCCGAAGCACUUUGAGGCACGGGGCUGGAUCAGUCUGUGGCUGAAAGGGCUCUUGAGCUGCUUGGUUUACCCUGUGUUGAGCUGAAGGUGGUUUCUGUCGCACCAUACAGUGAAGUUCUCUUCCCUAUCAUCUGUGAUACAGUUGACAAUGAAGGAGUCUUCUGAGAACUUCCAAAGAUGGCACAUUUCCGAGUCAAUGCAAAAGUCAGUUCCUUUGGGUGUGCCAGUGUUGCUCAUCACCAAGUCUGACAAGCAGCCAUGCUGUCUGACAUACUACGCUAGUCUCCAACACUUUCGUCCAA